rnacentral:rRNA from 1 species
AGUGAACGCUGGCGGUAUGCCUAACACAUGCAAGUCGAACGGCAACACAGUGAGCUCUUGCUCUUACGGUUGGCGGGGGACGGACGAGUGACGCAUACAUCGCAUUCUUCUUUUUCGUGGAGGAUAACGGGAGGACGGUGACGGUAAUAGCUCAUACAACCUACCGGAUGAAUCAAGAGAGCAUCGCGGCUUUCGCGACUCAAUUAGAUGAUUUCGGGCCGGAUUAGCUAGUUGGUAAGGUAACGGCCUACCAAGGCGACGAUGCGUAGCCGACCUGAGAGGAUGAUCAGCCACACUGGAACUGAGACACGGUCCAGACUCCUACGGGAGGCAGCAGUGGGGAAUAUUGGACAAUGGGCGAAAGCCUGACCGAGCCAUACCGCGUGAGUGAAGAAGGUCUUCGGGUUGUAAAGCCCUUUUGUUAGGAAAGAAAAGAAGCGGAUUAAACCACGGCUGUUCUGACGGUACCCAAAGAAAAAGCAACGGCUAACUUCGUG